rnacentral:misc_RNA from 1 species
AACGCACAUUGCGCUCUUUGGUAUUCCGGAGAGCAUGCCUGUUUGAGAAUCAGUAAAUUCAUCAACUCCAGGUUCUGGGAAAUUUUUCCCCUAACUUGAAGUUUGGAUUUGGGCUUCUUUGCAAUCUUGGUUGCAAUAGCCUGGAAUUAAAUGUUACGCUCGGUUGGACUGGAAGGUCUUGGGCAAACGCAUGAAUGAGGCAACUCAGCAGUACGUAGGCCUUUUGAGACUUAUCAAUUCAUUCGUAGAGUAACUCCCUUGAUGAACCAGGAUCUGCUAGCGUUUGUUGGCUUAUUCUGAACACUUGGUCUCAAAUCAGGUAGGAAAACCCGCUGAACUUAA